GGGAGCUCCCAGCUCUCUGCUCAGACAGGGCUGAGGUCUCUGGGAAGGCAGGUGUGGUCUAGAAGAUGAGGCUGCUGGGUCUUGUCCUGUGCCUGGUCACAGCUCCCCAAGGUGUCCUGUGCCAGGUGCAGCUGCAGGAGUCAGGACCUGGCCUGGUGAAGCCCUCGCAGACCCUGUCCCUCACCUGUGCUGUCUCUGGUUACUCCAUCACCAGUGGUUACUGCUGGAACUGGAUCCAUCAGCCCCCAGGGAAGGGGCUGGAGUGGAUAGGGGACAUAUGUUAUAUUGGUAACACUUACUACAGUCCAUCCCUCAAGAGCCAAGUGUCCAUCUCCAGAGACACGUCCAAGAACCAGUUCUCCCUGCAGCUGAGCUCCCUGACCUCUGAGGACACGGCCACCUAUUACUGUGCCAGAGACACAGGCUGUCUCAUCUCAGGAGCUGUCUGUGAGGCCAUCACUGAUUUGGAGCUGAAGUCUGCACUGGUGAGAGUCAGGAUCCAGUUCCUCCUCCUGCCUGUGGUCAUCCAGUUUUCCCAGAUCUGUUCACACUUGGAAGAGGCCCGGGCCCUCACCAUGACCUCUGGCCCAUGA